GCUCCAAUGGCACAAUUGGUUAGUGUGUGGUACUUAUAAUGCCGAGGUUGUGAGUUCAAGCCUCACCUGGAGCA